UUUCAUUUCCCUGUGCUCUGUAGGGGAAGACUGUGCAGAAACUCUGUGUAUCGCACCUGAGAACGGUUUAAAUGGGUGAAAUUUUGUUAAGACAGACUUAAGUUUUGCUGUUAGUGAAAAAAUAAAUAACAUUGAUAAAGAAUUGAAAUCAAGGCAGAACUUAUAUUUGAUAAAAGUAUGGAAGUGGCGUAGACUGCACUAGAAAAAUAAAUUCUCUCUGUUCUUCUGUGUGAACUGGGAAUUUUGUCUUUAUUAGAGAGGAUCCAAAAUUAGUUUUUGGUGAACAAGGGUGGUGAGUGAUACUGUUGACUUUAUUUUAUAUUGUCUUUUACAUUUUGAUUAAUAUUUAAUUUUUUUAUUUCUGACAAUCAUUUGUUGUUAUGCUAUCAUUUUGCUUUUGUAGUUUUUUUUUUAUAAUCUUCAAAUACAGUGUCUUCAUGAACUUGCGUAGGAGCAAUUCAAACACUUAGUGGAGAUUUCUUUUUCUUUAUGGUGAUUUUAGGCCACUGUUUAGUUAACAUACAUUUUCUUAGUGUGAACUGGAACAUCUCAAUGAUCUUAAGGAUUUUUUCCAACCUGAAUGAUUCUAUGAAACACUGAAUGUUGCUUAGAGCAUGAGUAGGGAUUGUGCUGUCUUUAUUGACCUUGGCCUAGCUCUUUGUGAUCUGAACUUCUCUGUGCCACUAACUUCCUUUUUUGUAACUGUUUCAGAGUCGGUUCCCUUUUCUGUAUUCCUGAAAGAGCUCUGUGAAAAGCCUCAUGUGACAAAUCAGUUUCUGACUCUGUUUCCCAGAGUUUAUUUAGCUUUGAAACUGUUAUCUAAAUCCAUUGAAGUUCCUUCAGUGUUUUUAACAUAUUAAUUCUGUUUAAUUCUCUGUGUCUUUGGAAUGCUUCUUUCAAAAGCACCUGUAGUUUUUCUAAACUGAUUUUCCAGAACUUUGCCAUUAAGACAUUCAGUGCCUCUGUAUCACCCUGGAUAACUUGUAACAUACUUUGUAAGGUCUCUUUUUACCAAGAAGAAUUCUUGUGUGUCACAGAUUCCUUUGCACCUGUUGGAAAUGUGUAGGAAAAUUCCAGCAGAUUCUCAUAUUUUCAUUCAGGCUUGACUCUACUGGGGGCUGGUAUGAGAGGAGGUGGGGAGCAGAAGGGCAGGAAGUGAGGUUUGCAGCUGCCUGACUGUGUCUGGGCCCUGCAGUGUCUCACUGAAUCCCAUUGCAGAGAGAAAUGGGCUGGGAGGGAUGUCAUGGUGGAGUCCAGGAUGGCCUUGACCUGACAAGUUAGCAGAACUGCUGUGCUCAGUGGAAGGAUGGGGAAGAAACUUGUACAGCUUUUUAGUCGCAAAUUCUCUAUGCAAAAUCUUUACAUGAGAUAUGGUGUUAAUUUGGAUUCACAGUACUUACGUUUUAUGAACAUAUUUACAUGAAACCUUGUUUUUUGUGUGGAGUAAGUGGGGGGAGCUGACUUUGUUAAGUCUUGUGAAAGAGAAGCCUGAGAUGGUACAGUCUUUAGAUAUAAAAAUAUUCUUGAAUAAGAGGUAUGUCUUACACUUCUAGGGUAUAUGGGACAAGAAAUAAUAUAUCUUUAAAAUGUUAUGUGAAAGAGUCAGGUUAUACAUUAGACAAAACUUUACAGAGGACAGUGAAAGACUGGAAUAAAUGUCCUCAGCAAAAUACAGGGUCCAUAUCAUUGAAAAGUUUCAAGCAUUGUUCAUCAACCAUCAGUCAGGAAUCAUUACAGUUGGACUCAAUAAUCUUAAGGGUCUUUUCCAAUCUAAAUGAUUCCAUGACUCAGAUAGAGUUGAUCAUGCUUUUGAGAGGAGGGGAGAGAACCUGUAUGACCUGCUAAAAUCCCUUAUGGCCCUUUCUUUUGUGCCUGAAAAUCACUGGCCUAAUGUAUUGACUACUGAAGGUGGGAAGUUUUUGCCCAUUUGAAAGGUUUUCUUGAUGGUGAGGUAAGCAGCUCGCUUCUGUGAAUGACCUUUACCAUUACAAACGGCCUCUUUGAUUCCAGUUGCUGCACUUAAAUGAGAGAAAUGAUGUAUAUCAGGGUGGAACACCAGAGCACAGUGGCUCAGUGUCAGCUUUUGCUUUCUAAUACACUUUUUAGAUAUUAGGUGAACUGCCUUUUUUAAGUGUUUGAUUUCUUGAUUGGUUUUUUCUUUUUUUCUUUUUUAUUUCAGUUAGAGUGUUGAAACUCACUGUUUAAGUGGUGUUUGUGUGUUUUUUCCUUUCUUUGUGUUUAGUUUUCUCCAGCUCAUAGUACUGUCUUCAGCCUACUCAUACAAAUGUCUUUAUGUGAAAUUCUUUGCUGUGCAGAAACCCUGAUGAGAUCAGUGUAGUGCUGAGCAGUUAUACAUAUGCUACAGUAGAUCUUUGCCCCAAGUGGGAAUUCUACCUUUGCCCCUAAAUUUUCUCUUGCCUUGGCUCUAAUCAGGACUAUCUCUGCAGAUAGCAGCAAAGCUUCUGUUACUUGAUUACAAUGAAUCUGUAACCUUUAGUCUUACAGCUUGAAGCCACUCCCUAUUAUCUUGUAAUUACGUGCCUUUGUAAAAAGUCCCUCUCCAGCUCUCUUCUAGCCAGUCUCCUUUAGGUACUGAAAGGAAGCAUACAGGAAAGACUAUAAACUAAUAUGGUCUUGCAUCAAACUUCAGUGAAAAGACGUUGUACAGCUAACAGAUAUAAAGCAUUCUACUUUCUGGGAAGGAAAAGGGGCUUUGUUUUCUGAAGUGAGUGGAAAACUCUUGUUUUAGCAAUCACAAAGGAGUCAGAGCUUUCUGCUAUACGAAUGCUGAACAGACAUUGUUAAAACCUAAAGUUACACUAGAAAAAAAUCAUGGAACACAAAUUGCAAAUAGUUGUACCUGCUUUAAAGUUCAUUAACUUCUCCAGUGAGCUUUUGGAUAAAGCUAGAAUUUUAUAAUAAAAUUCUUAAUUUCAUUUCUAUCUGUCUGAUAUUUUUUUUCUAGAGAUGGAGAGGAAACAGACUUGAUCUUGUAAAACCUUUUUCCUGUUCUACACUGGUACAGAACAGACACUUCUGAAAGAUUUAACUGGAACUAGAAUAAUGAAUACACCAACACACGGGGUAUUUAUUGAGGUUUUUUUAAGAACUCAAAUCCCAGCUUUGAAUGCCAACAAUGUGAAAUAGAAAUAUAAAUGUAACAUUUCUCACAUCCAAACAGGUAUGCUGAGCUUGGUCUGUAAUGUGUGUCUUUCUUAUAUGGGUCAGAGUGAGCAUUCAAUUGUACAUACAAAAGACACUACUCCCAGACUACUGAGGUCAGGAACUUAUGUGGAGCCUUAGGUUCAAUUCCCUGUGCCAAGCCUUGUCAUACAUGCAAUUUGCACUUUCAUCUGUCUUAUCAUUGAUGCUACAGAUUGUCAGUGUAUUCUGAAAUUAAGGCCUCUCCCUUUUGGUGUGGAUCAGAAAAUCUUCCUAGAACCUGAGUAACCUUUCUUAGCAAAAAUUUAUUUUUCUUCAAGAAAUUUCAAUAACCUGACACUUCCCAAGAACAAAGGUAUUUCCUUAAGAAUUUUUUUAUAGUUUUCUAAGUCAAGUUGGUCCUGAUCAGUUUUCUCUUCACAACUGGUUCCUUAGUGUCUUCAGUUCUAACUUUGUCAUUUAGUAGUAAUUUCUAACUUUGUCAUUUAGUAGUAAUAGAUGUUAUUUUUUUUCUCCUGAAGCCUAGGAUAAAGUUAUUACAGGAAAGAAACUUUCAAGUGCUGCAUGGAUUUUAGAGUUCUGUGCUCUAUUCCCUCCUCUCUGAUACUCUGUUCCAUCCAUGCUUCCCAAGGGUUCUUGUUUGUAUGCCUACAGCAUCUUUGUGAAACAUGAAAGUGCUACUCUUCCCAUUCUGCAAAUGGAGAAAUGAAAUAAAGAACUUCAGCAAGUACUUUUAUUGUAGGUGAAACGAGCAGAGGUGAUCACUGACCUCAUGAGUCAGGUAGUCACCUCCAAUGAUAUGUGAACACACCAGCACUGACUCUGGUUCAUACAGGUGCCGCAGUACUGUGCCAUGUGUGUUCCCUGGCUUGAGAAUCUGCAGCUCAGAGCACUCUGCAUUGUUUUCUGCUGUGAGGUGAAAUAUGCCCUGAAUGACUUGUCCAAGAUCACACAGGAGGACACUGGCAGAACAGGAACAUAAUGUGAGUUUUCUCUUAAGCAGCAAGCACACCUGCUUUAAUUUUGUUUCUAGGCUACAUAAAUUUUAAGUGAAUAAAAAUUAUGUGCAUAUGGAAAAACUUCUUCCAUAUUUUUUUGAAAGUAGGUUAAUUCCUAUAAUAAGAUAGGCUUGGAGAGGAUUGAUUUUGCAAUAGGAUUAGUUAUGCUAAGGAAACUAUUUUUCACAGUUGAAAAUGCAAAUAAAAUUUUGAUAGAUCAGACUUCCAUCUUGAUUUGCUUUACUGAAAUUAGAGUAGGAAUGCAUCAAUCAGUAGGACUGUAUCGAUCUGUCCUAUUGUGUCGUAGACUGGAAGGAAUGUAGGAAUUUAUUAAUAUUCUUCUAAUACAUUGAAGAAUGUAUUAGAAGAAUAUUAAUAAAAGGUUUAAUGAAAAAAAGGGUUUAUUACUAUUAAGAAAUGGUGCAUUCUUUUUGUCAGUGUUAAUCUGGUUCUUGAUUCCCCCCUCCCCCCUCUUUGCUGUUACUACUUCAUGGUCCUGUUGUGCCCAGCUUACUGUGCUACAUGUUCCCUGGUUUGCUGAAACCUGAUAAUCUAGUAGUUAUGCUUUCACACUCACUAAUUAAUUUCAUUUUUUGUAGGUAUCCUAUGGAACAUGCUUGAUGCUUGAUGACACACAGUGACAUCUGUUCAUACAGAGGAGGGAUUUCAUCACUGCAGAUCUUGGAGUCUUCCCUGGCAAGUGCUCCAGCCAUACCACCCAAGUGACAGACGACAAAGGCAGGGACUGAGAGAAUGCAGAACCACCCACUGUACAAGAAGAUCAGGUUCAAGAACAACUAAGGCAUCUGAAGGUGUACAAGUUCAUGGGACCUGAUAACAUACAUGCGUGGGUCCUGAGGGAACUGGUGGAGGAAGUGACUAAGCUGCUAUUCAUCAUAUUUGAGAAGUCAUGGCAGUCUGGGAAAGUUCCCACUGACUAGAAAAGGGGAAAUACAACCCCCAUUUUAAGAAGGAAAUAAGAAAGACCCAGGGAAAUAGACUGGUCACUAUCACUUCAUUGUCAGGAAAGACAAUGGAGCAGAUCCUUCUGGAAACUAUGGUAAAGCACAUGGAAAAUAGGGAGGUGAUUGGUGACAGCCAACAUGGGGAUCAAAUUGUGCCUGACAUAUUUGGUGGCUUUGUAUGACAGGUUUACAGUGAUGGUGGAUGAGGGAAGAGUUACUGACAUCAUCUACAUGGACUGGUGUAAGACAUGACACUGUCUGACACAGUGUCACACAUCGUUGUCUCUAAACUGGAGAAACAUGGAUUUGAUAGGUAGAUCACUUGGUGGAUGAGGAGUUGACUGGAUGGUUGCACUCAAAGAGUUGUGGUCAAAGUUCAAUGUCCAAGUGGAGACCAGCAAUGAGUGUUAUUCCUCAGGGGUCUGUAUUUGGACUGGCACUGUUUAACAUCUUUGUCACUGACAUGGACAGUGGUGUUGAGUGCACUCUCAGCAAGUUGGCUGAUGAUAUCAAGUUGUGUGUUAUGUGGUGCAGUCAACACAUGGGAGGGAAGGGAUGCCAUCCAGAGAGACCUUGACAGACUUGAGAGGUAGACCUGUGUGAACCUCAUGAAGUUCCACAAAGCCAAGUGCAGGAACCUGCAUGUGGAUUGGGGUAAUUCCAAACACAAAUACAGGCUGAUGGAAGAAUGGAUUGAAAGCAGCCUAGAGGAGGACUUGGGGUGUUGAUGAAUGAGAAGCUUGACAUGACCCAGCAAUGUGCACUUUCAGCCCAGAAAGCCAACUGUGUCCUGGGCUGCAUUGAAAGCAGCAUGGCCAGCAGGUCGAGGGAGGUGAUUUUGCCCCUUUACUCUGCUCUGGCUGGUCUAUUUUGGUGGAUUAUGUCUCCUUUGAUGCACUGCUCCACUGAGAAGCUUUGGGGGGACUUAGACCACCACUACAGAGCACUGUGGCAGAUCUUUUUUUUCAAAUGAAAAAUAUGAUGUUUCCGCAGGAAGCAGAGACAUUUCCCAAAAUUGUAAAUAUGUCAAAGAGAAGCCCAGAAUGAUGUUUCAAGGGCGAAUCUAAGGCAGUCUGAGUUUAUCCACUCAAGUUUGGUACUGAGAAGAGGAGGUGAUGAAUAAAGUACUUAUAACUUUGCUUAGAUAACAACAACCUGAAGCUUGCAAAAAUGUAGUUUGGAGCUGAAGGUAUGCAGCACACCGCUACCAUUUGUGGUGUAAACAUGAACUGCGCUGAAGGAUUUGUUUUUCCUUCCUUCCCCGUCUCACUUCUGGUUCAGCAGCAAUGGUAAGUCUCAUCUCUA